GACAAAUCAGCUGGAGCAUCUUCGUUCCUGCCUUAUCAAAGAGCUUGAAAGUUUUGAAAAAGACUCACAGAUUUUAAGGAAUAUGGAAAAAGACUUUUCAAACUUUUCAAAGAAGCAUAGUGAAACAUUUAGCAUUUACAACAAAAAUGAGCAAGAGAGACUUCAGAAUCUUAAAACUUCAUUUGAGAAGAGCAUGUAUUCUGACUCUGAGG
rnacentral:lncRNA from 1 species